UAUCUCUGUAGAGUCUGCAUAUCAAUAAGCGGAGGAAAAGAAACUAACUAGGAUUCCCUCAGUAACGGCGAGUGAAGCGGGAAGAGCUCAAAUUUGAAAUCUUCAAGGUUCUACCUUGACGAAUUGUAGUUUAAAGAAGUGUUUUCUGUUAGGAUGAUUAGGCUAAAAGUUCCUUGGAAUAGGGACAUCAUAGAGGGUGAGAAUCCCGUAUUUGUUACAUUCAUUCUAGCGUUGUGAUACACUUUCAAAGAGUCGGAUUGUUUGGGAAUGCAGUCCAAAAUGGGUGGUAAAUUUCAUCUAAAGCUAAAUAUUGGCGAGAGACCGAUAGCGAACAAGUACCGUGAGGGAAAGAUGAAAAGAACUUUGAAAAGAGAGUUAAACAGUACGUGAAAUUGUCAAAAGGGAAGCGUUUGACACCAGUGUUGUUUUCUCGAAAAUCAAUUAAAAAAAGUUGGAUUUUGUAUUGUUAAGACCUUAUCAGCUUACUGUACUCUUUUCUUGCUUUUUUUAAUGCACUUUUCGUUUAACAAGUCAACAUCAAUUUCUUUUGUUGUAAAAGAGUCAUUGGAAGGUGGCUUUCACUUCGGUGAAAGUGUUUAUAGCCUUUGGCUUCUGCAAUCGGAGAGAUUGAGGUCUGCAGCGUAGAUCCUUCGGGGCUAGAUACGUAGAUGCUAAGUUAUAGUUUUUUAUAGACAACUUGUUGACUAUAAUUAAUCAUGUAGCUUACUCGUUUGCGCUAUUUUACCUACGCUUAGGAUGUUGAAGAUGUAGCACAUCAU
rnacentral:rRNA from 1 species